GCCGCCGCCGUGUGUAGGCAGCAGAGCGGCUGCGGAGCGGCAGCGGCAGCGUCGGGAGCCCCGGCCCCGCGAUAAAAGGGAAGGGGCUGGGCGGCGGGCGGUGCGUGUUGCGGCACUGGGGGGAGUGUGGCUGGGAAGGAAGGAAGGAGCGAGCCAACCGCCUCCCGCAGGAAUCCCGGGCAGGCGGUAGUAGCAGCAGCCGGGACGCGCGGCUCCCCCUGGCUGGGAGGCGAGUGAGCAUCGAGGAGCAGCCGCUGCCGCCUCAUCCUGCGGCAGCGGCCGGCGCUGCUCAGAGAGCGCAGGUGGCAGUGUAGAAGCCAAGAACAAAAACUGGCAGAAAUUAUAUUCUGUGUACGAGAGAAUGAGGAGUAUACUCAUGACUAAGCACAGGAACCUGGAAAACUACAGGAUUCCUAGGAAGCCGUGGAGGAUGGGGUGAACUCAGAGCUGGAGCUUGAGGAUUUUUGGAACACAUGAAUGGGAAGUUAUCCUGGUAAGAAGUGACCAAGUGCCACCACCACUGUGUUUAUAAAUACAUUUGGCUGUUGUUGGGUUUUUUCGUUUUUAAGUUCUAGGAAGGCAUUCUGUCUAAACCUUUAAAUUACUUGUGAGAGAACAUGGUGAUACCACAAAUGUUUACAGAUGACCAAGUCACCUUGUACAAAGUGAGAACACAUUUGCAGCCAGUUUAUUUCACUGACCAUUGUGUUAUUGCUCCACACUUAGUUCUAUGUGGGUGACCCACUUAAGAAUAGCUGGGGAGGAAGAAGUGAGCAGCACUAAGGCUUAUAUGACCAUGGAGUUUUAAUCAUUAUCACUUAUGAAGCGGAACAGCAAGCAGUUCAUCCAACUUAAACGUGGCUAUUCACAUAGAUUUUUUUUUUUUUAAACUUUCUGAUGUAGUACAGGUCAGCAUAUGUUUAUGGCUUUGUCAAACACUGCUGAGUUCAUUAGUUUGUGCCAACGUGUAGAGAAAUGUUACGGGUACAAAAUUUUAAUGUCUCCCAUUACGUCAAGUGGUUUGCCAAAAUAUUAAAUAAAACAGUUAACUAAGCAACGUGCUGCUCAAGAGUUCAAUCUACAGAAGGUUCUCUGUGCUAAUUAGGAAGUAUUGACAUCAAUGAAUGAAACUACUUGUUGAAGUGCCUUCUGCAGUGUAUAGCAGCUAUGUGUUCAUGAGAUGAUUCAUAGCAUUCAGCAAGUUGUGAUGAGCUUCCCUGCCAUUACUGGAGAUUAUGAAGUAUCUACUGUAUUUGCACUACAGUUUUUUCUUUUUAAUUAGAUUUGAUUGUGGGAAGGAGAAGAAUUUUCUAUCAACUGAAAGAUCAGAUCUAUUUUUAUGAAUUAGUUAAUUAUUCUUCUCUUUAUUGCAUGGUGCAAUCUAUCUUUAACAAUAAAAUGAAAUGUUCAUCUUGUCCGUAAA